UACGUAGGGUGCAAGCGCUGUCCGGAAUUAUUGGGCGUAAAGAGCUCGUAGGCGGUCUGUCGCGUCGGCUGUGAAAACUUGGGGCUCAACCCCCAAGCCUGCAGUCGAUACGGGCAGACUAGAGUCCGGCAGGGGAGAGUGGAAUUCCUGGUGUAGCGGUGAAAUGCGCAGAUAUCAGGAGGAACACCGGUGGCGAAGGCGGGUCUCUGGGCCGAUACUGACGCUGAGGAGCGAAAGCGUGGGGAGCGAACAGG
rnacentral:rRNA from 1 species